GCCUGAUUGGCUCAAUGGUAGAGCGUCUCCCUCCUAUUCCAGGAUCCAGGAGAAGGUUGCGGGUUCGAUUCCCGUGUUAGGUU